AACAUUCCCGCGGGAAUCAUCCAUCACCACUUCUAGAACCUUCCACAGGGGCUGCCCUUCUUUUCAGACCCUGGGGCUGCUGCUCACCCGCGCUCUCUCCGAACCCUGGUGGCCACACGCUCAGAAGUGAGGAAGUUCUAGAGGACAGAUCCACUGCAGCCCGCAGGGUUUCCCAUCAGCCCAAAAGCACAGCUGGAAAUCACUUGAUAGGAAUCUGCCCUCUGUCUGGAGGGAGUGGGGGAGUCUGCAAGGGAGGAGUGUUCAGAAUGCCUGGAGUCCUCAUUUGUGCUAAAAGACUGGAAGGCCUCUGCUGAAAGCUCUGUGACUCCUAGCUGGCCUCCAGGGAGCUGCACUCCUGUCGCCUGUGGUCAGGUGGAUGGAAAGGGGCCUGAUUUUACCCCAUCCCUGGGGCGUGGCUUCCUGCUGCACAGUCAGCUUUAGAUGCUGUGCCCUGUGCUGCUUCUGAGCACUGCAGGUGAGGUGUUGCCUCCAACUGACUGGAGCUUCAGCCUCUAGCAGUUUGUGCAGAGGAGGCUCCCCACUGAGUAGGAGGCAGAAUCCCACUGCUGACAGGGGAGAUGGAGCCUCCUCAGGGAGUGGGGCUGCUUGGGGUGAAGAAGCAGUGUGAUUGUCACCAGCUAGCAUGGGUCAUUGCUUUAGUGAUAGUGGAAAUUACAUGAGUUAACAGGCA
rnacentral:lncRNA from 1 species